GAUAGCUCAGUUGGGAGAGCGUCAGACUGAAGAUCUGAAAAUCGCAUGUUCGAUCCACGCUC
rnacentral:tRNA from 1 species